UACGUAGGGGGCGAGCGUUGUCCGGAUUUACUGGGCGUAAAACGCUUGUAGGCGGCCACGUCAAGUCGGAUGUGAAAUCUCCCGGCUUAACUGGGAGCGGUCAUUCGAUACUGGCGGGCUCGAGGCAGGUAGGGGGAAGCGGAAUUCCCGGUGUAGUGGUGGAAUGCGUAGAUAUCGGGAGGAACACCAGUGGCGAAGGCGGCUUCCUGGACCUGUUCUGACGCUGAGGAGCGAAAGCGUGGGGAGCGAUCCGG
rnacentral:rRNA from 1 species